rnacentral:tRNA from 1 species
GGUUGUGGCUCAGUGGCAGAGUGCUUGCCUUGCACAUGUGAGGCUCUGGGUUUAAUCCUCAGCACCA